rnacentral:rRNA from 1 species
UACGGAGGAUCCGAGCGUUAUCCGGAUUUAUUGGGUUUAAAGGGUGCGCAGGCGGGAGAUUAAGUCGGCGGUGAAAUUUUGCAGCCCAACUGUAAAAGUGCCUUCGAAACUGGUUUCCUUGAGUGUAGAUGAAGUAGGCGGAAUUUGUGGUGUAGCGGUGAAAUGCAUAGAUAUCACGAGGAACUCCGAUUGCGCAGGCAGCUUACUAAACUACUACUGACGCUCAGGCACGAAGGCGUGGGGAUCAAACAGGAUUAGAUACCCCCGUAGUCCCU